rnacentral:lncRNA from 1 species
UGGCGGCAUCUAGUGGCGAACUCGAGAGGUAUAAACCUUACUCACAGAACUUUCUGGAAAAUUAACAGUGCGUAUUUGCCUGAAGAAGGUCAGUGUGCUUGCUUGGAGAUCAGGACGCAAAGGUCACCAUCAGAAAAGCUAAGUUUGCUGUAUAGUGAGGAUCAGGAGGUCUGAUCCUGAUUGCAGAACCUUCCCUGAUUACAGAAUCUUGGAUGAUUUCACAAAAGUUCAUCUUCAUUGCAGAUACCUGCCUUUCUUUCUAGGUUGUAUCUCCCACUUCACCCUUCUAGACCAUCCCAGAAGAUCUAUAAGAUUUCAUCUGGGAAAUCACUAGGAGUUCUUGGAAGGGAAAGAAGGAAGAUUG